GACUCGUUAGUCUAGGGGUUAGGACGCUGGAUUUUGACCAUGAGUCCCUUUCCGGAAACAUCAGUUCGAAUCUGGUACGAGUCU